AUCUAGUUGGCGAGUCCCAAAUAGGACGAAAUGCGCAUCCUGGAU
rnacentral:hammerhead_ribozyme from 1 species